UGAGGUAGUUUGGAAAUGCUGUCG
rnacentral:miRNA from 1 species